AUGGGCGCAAGCCUGAUCCAGCCAUGCCGCGUGAGUGAUGAAGGCCCUAGGGUCGUAAAGCUCUUUCGCCAGAGAUGAUAAUGACAGUAUCUGGUAAAGAAACCCCGGCUAACUCCGUGCCAGCAGCCGCGGUAAUACGGAGGGGGUUAGCGUUGUUCGGAAUUACUGGGCGUAAAGCGCACGUAGGCGGAUCAUAAAGUAUGAGGUGAAAUCCCGGNGCUCAWCCCCGGAACUGCCUUGUAAACUCCUGGUCUUGAGUUCGAGAGAGGUGAGUGGAAUUCCGAGUGUAGAGGUGAAAUUCGUAGAUAUUCGGAGGAACACCAGUGGCGAAGGCGGCUCACUGGCUCGAUACUGACGCUGAUGUGCGAAAGUGUGGGGAGCAWRCAGGAUUAKAUACCCUGGUAGUCCACACYGUACACGGUGAWKGCCAGACGUCAGCAAGCAUGCUUGURGGUGUCACACCUAACGSAUUAAGCAUUCCGCCUGGGGAGUACGSUCGCAAG
rnacentral:rRNA from 1 species